GAGGAUAUGAUGACCCUUUCCCCAGAUGAUCGACAUGAACAUACUGAGCGCUAUAAUUUCUCAUCUGAGAAAACCAAGACAGAAUUCUGAUCCUC
rfam:Zea mays cultivar B73 chromosome 10, whole genome shotgun sequence.